CAGAAGAGAAUAGGGAUGGGGGAGCAGUGGUAACGUGACGUAUCUCAUACACAUUGACCUUAGGACAGUGUACACAUUUAUCAUACACGGCUUGCUUUUCAUACAAUCAUUGUGUUACAUCGUGUUGCCCUGAUUGGGUCUGCUGAUUAUUGUCUACCCCAUGCCCUGAGGGGGGGGCUCACAUCGGUCCCUUCCGGGGUGGCAAUCGUCUGGGUUUGUGUUUGAUGCUGGGUGUAGAGCCUUGGUAUUUCAUAUACCACUGGGGUGGGGGGUGAACCAUAGAAGAGGAUCAGAGUGGGGGACGGAAGGGAGGGGGGGAAUGAAGGGGGGAGGAGAAAGGGGGGGGGGAGAGGGUAGGGCUCUCCUAGGUAGUCGGCUGUGUGUGGUCGUUUCUGCAGGACUAUCUGUCCUACAUGUGUUUUAUU